GGCGCCCUGGACCGGGUGGCGGGGCCGCUCGCGGCGGCCGUCGCCGAGCGCGACGUCCCCGGGUUCACGGCCCUGGCGCGCCA
rnacentral:tRNA from 2 species